rnacentral:rRNA from 1 species
UAGGGAAUCUUCGGCAAUGGACGGAAGUCUGACCGAGCAACGCCGCGUGAGUGAAGAAGGUUUUCGGAUCGUAAAGCUCUGUUGUAAGAGAAGAACGAGUGUAAGAGUGGAAAGUUCACACUGUGACGGUAUCUUACCAGAAAGGGACGGCUAACUACGUGCCAGCAGCCGCGGUAAUACGUAGGUCCCGAGCGUUGUCCGGAUUUAUUGGGCGUAAAGCGAGCGCAGGCGGUUAGAUAAGUCUGAAGUUAAAGGCUGUGGCUUAACCGUAGUAGGCUUUGGAAACUGUUUAACUUGAGUGCAAGAGGGGAGAGUGGAAUUCCAUGUGUAGCGGUGAAAUGCGUAGAUAUAUGGAGGAACACCGGUGGCGAAAGCGGCUCUCUGGCUUGUAACUGACGCUGAGGCUCGAAAGCGUGGGGAGCAAACAGGAUUAGAUACCCUGGUAGUCCACGCUGUAAACGAUGAGUGCUAGGUGUUAGACCCUUUCCGGGGUUUAGUGCCGUAGCUAACGCAUUAAGCACUCCGCCUGGGGAGUACGACCGCAAGGUUG